rnacentral:rRNA from 1 species
GAUGAACGCUGGCGGCGUGCCUAAUACAUGCAAGUCGUGCGAACAGACAAGUUGCUUGCUCCACUGACGUUAACGGCGGAAGGGUGAGUAACACGUGGAGAACCUACCUAUAAGACAGGGAUAACUUAGGGAAACCGGUGCUAAUACCGGGUAAUAUAUGGAACCGCAUGGUUCAAUAGUGAAAGACGGUUUUGCUGUAACUGAUAGAUGGAUCCGCGCCGCAUGAGCUAUGUGGUAAGGUAACGGCUUACCGAGGCGACGAUGCGUAGCCGACCGGAGAGCGUGAUGGCGCACUCUGGAACUGAGCGGCGGCACAGGCUCCGACGGACGGCAGAGAUACGGACUCGACCGAGCAGGGCGAAAGCUUGCAGGAGGAACGCCGCCCGAGUGAUGCAGCUCUUCGGAUCGUAAAACGCUGUCCUGAGGGAAGACCAAAUGCGUAAGUAACGAUGCACGUUGUGACGGUACCUGCAGAGAAAGCACCGGCUAACUACGUG